rnacentral:rRNA from 1 species
ACGUGAGAAUUUACCUUUAGGAGGGGGAUAACAAUUGGAAACGAAUGCUAAUACCCCAUAUGCUUUCGAGUGAAAUGGAUUUAUAUUUAUUCGCCUGGAGAGAAGCUCGCGGCUGAUUAGCUUGUUGGUAAGGUAAGAGCUUACCAAGGCGACGAUCAGUAUCUGGUUUGAGAGGACGAUCAGACACACUGGAACUGAGACACGGUCCAGACUCCUACGGGAGGCAGCAGUGGGGAAUUUUCCGCAAUGGGCGAAAGCCUGACGGAGCAAUACAGCGUGAGGGAAGACUGCCUAUGGGUU